rnacentral:rRNA from 1 species
AUUGAACGCUGGCGGCAGGCUUAACACAUGAAAGUCGCACGAGCGGCGGACGGGUGAUUAAUGUUUGGGAAUCUGGCUUAUGGCGGGGGAUAACUACUGGAACCUGUAGCUAAUACCGCUUACCAUAGGAUUAGCCCAAAUGGGAUGAGGUAGUUGGUGAGGUAAAGGCUCACCAAGCCGACGCUCGCUAGCUGGUCUGAGAGGAUGACCAGCCACACUGGGACUGAGACACGGACCAGACUCCUACGGGAGGCAGCAGUGGGGAAUAUGGCGCAAUGGGGGCAACCUGACGCAGCCAUGCCGCGUGAAUGAAGAAGGCCAUCGGGUUGUAAAGUGCUUUCGGUAGCGAGGCGUUACCUACAGAAGAAGCACCGGCUAACUCCGUGCCAGCAGCCGCGGUAAUUC